rnacentral:lncRNA from 1 species
GCUCCUGCAGUCCAGAAGUCCAGGGCUUGCCAUUCACAAGCACAUCCUCAACAAAAGCGUCAACAUCCGACACCUUCAAAUUCCUUGAUUAAAAGCACCAGACACAAACUCAAGCUCAAGGUAAGAUAAUGCUUGGAGAUGCAUACAAUGGCUAGGUCAAAUACUUGCAAUAAAAUCAAGAGGAAAAUCAGAAACUAGUCGAAUUUGACUAACCUAUUCCAAUUAAAUCUAACUAGAUCAAUUCAUUUAUAUUUUAAUUAAAAUUUGGAUAAUCAGAAACUAGUCGAAAAAUACUACUCCUAAAAAUUCUGAUAUGGAAGGUACCAAAUAUUGGUCAAUUUCAUAAGGUUGUGAAGAAGAAAAAAAGAAUAAAGUCAAAAUUCAUCAUGGUUAUUUCUCCUCUUGUCUCCAGAUAGCCUAUUUAUGUAUUUCAUCACUGCUACACACAGAAUACUAAAGGAGGACGAAUUUUUCGCAGCCUAAUACAAUGAUAUAAAAAUAAUAACAAAAUAAAAGUAAAAGAACAUACAAGAUUGUCGAAAACUACCUGUAUUUGAUCAUUUCAGGAAAAAUCAGAACAUCUCCAUCUGAUAGUCCAAUGUUUUCGCGUACUUCGCAAAUCGUCAAAACAGUCUACCACAAAUAGUCACCGAGCCAAAAACGCAUUAAACUCAAUUUCACACUUGCUAAGCUAACAUCAUAAAACUAUUAAAGGCAUUCUAAUUGACCGAACUAGAAUUCUUAUAUUGUGUACUAAAUUUAUCCACCACACAUUUGAAAGGCUAAUAACUUAAACCUACUAAUUGCAUUCUAAUAGAGAAGCUAGAAUUCUUAUUAAUUCGUAUGAAAUUUUGAACAUUUCUAUAAAGUUCUUGCAAUUAUAUGACUGAGAUUUUUCAUUUUAUAUAGAGUUUAAAUUUUAUGCACUGACACUGUAACAGUUAUUUACACAAUUAGGUCACUACAAGGUAGUGACCGGUAAAUCUCUACAAUAAUAGUAAUUAGUAACAUGAUAAAAAAGGUAACUAACGAGGUUAAACAACACAUGACAGUGUGAAAAAUCAUUUAUAUUGCUAGUAUAUAUAACUUUAAUCCUUUUAUAUAAACAUUCAAAAACUUAAAAAUUUCAUUAAGUUAUCCGUAGUAGAUCAAAAAUAUUAAAUUUAUUAUCUAUACUAGAUCCAAAAAGAACCGACUGCUAACUUCAAAUUAGAAACUAAAAUCAAUAGAAAUGAAGUUAAAUGUAACGUCGUUGACUUAAGUAAUCAGUUGAAAAUAACUAACCUUAAGCUUGAUUUCAUCCUUACGAGCUUUAAGAGUAGCAGCGAGAAGCUUCGGAAGUGGAUCGGAGUCUGAGGAUUCAACGUGAGAAGGCCAAGUUUCAUGUGAUUUAUAACAGAGGAAAACGUGACGAUUGUAAACUGUAGCAGUGCCGGAGAGUUUAAGUUCGUACAUCUCCGAACGUUUGAACCCGAAAUCAACGUCGUCAGUGACGAUGUCCUCCGAGUUUCCAGCC